GGGUAUAGCUCAGUUGGUAGAGUCGCGGUCUCCAAAACCGUUGGUCGUGGGUUCAAGUCCUACUGCCC
rnacentral:tRNA from 3 species